AAAAGAGAAAUAUUGACUCUGAGAGAUUGGCAUCAAGGUUGGAGAAGGAGGCCAGCAAAUACCUGAGCACGUUUUUGAGAUUAUCGUCUAUUUAAUAAUUUCGAUCCUUUUCAAAUUUUUUGUGCUUGUUUUCAACUUAGUUUUUAAGAAGUGUGAAAAUUUUGAGUUAAAAUCAAUGAUUCAUUCAUUAGUUAUUGACGUUUAAAUCUAUUUUAGAAAUUACUAGGAUUUGGUUAUGAUUUGAUUUAGGAUUAGGAUUUGGUUAGGGUUUGAUUUAGAGUUAGGAUUUGGUUAGAAUUUUAUUUAGGAUUUAGGAUUUGAUUUAGAGUUGAAGAUUUGAUUAGGAUUUGAUUUAGGAUUAGGAUUUGAUUUAGGAUUUAGGAUUUAGUUAGGAUUUGGUUAGGAUUUGGUUUAGGAUUUAGGAUUUGAUUAAUUAUUUAGGAUUUGAUUUAAGAUAUAAGGUUUGGUUAGGAUUUGAUUUAAUAUUUAAGAUUUGAUUAGAAUUUGAUUUAAAGUUUGAUUAGGAUUUAUUUAAGAUUUAAGAUUUAGUUAAUUUUUGGCCUAAAGUUUGAAUGAAAUCCAAUAGAAUUUUAACUAAGAUUAAAUUAAGAUUUAAUUGAGAUGUAUUUGAGAUAUAUUUGUGAUCAUUCUAAUAUUUUUUUAAUAUUUCUUAUUAUUUCUUUGUAAUUCCUUUGAGGUUUUUUUGAAUUUGAUUAAAGCUUGUUUGGCAUUUUUAUGGUCUAAUUAGAGUUUAAUUAGUAUUUUAUUAGAAUUAGGAUUUUUUUGUUACAAUUUCUAUUCUAUCUUCCACAGCCAGAUGCCUAGAGCAUUCUCAAGUAAGACCUCACAUAUUAAGAUACCAUUCUAUUUAAUUUUAUUUGCUUCUAUUUGGUUGUAUUUUCUUCUAUUUAAUCUUUUCUUUUAGAUUCUAUUUUAUUUAGUAAAUUUUUAUUUUAUUUUAGGGUACUUGAUCUUACAUUAUAUCGAGAUCUUUGUUAUUAUGGAUUUGGUAAGAUUUUUGACUUUAGAGAAUCUCGUCAUGUUUCAUUGAUAUGAAAGCAAAUAUUUUUCUAUUCUUUGGUUGUGUAUUGAUAGCUACCAUUUAAUUUGAAGUCAAUUAUUGUGAUCAUA
rnacentral:lncRNA from 1 species